GACCGAUAGUGAACCAGUACCGUGAGGGAAAGGCGAAAAGAACCCCGGCGAGGGGAGUGAAAAAGAACCUGAAACCGUGUACGUACAAGCAGUGGGAGCACAGGUUUACCUGUGUGACUGCGUACCUUUUGUAUAAUGGGUCAGCGACUUAUAUUCUGUAGCAAGGUUAACCGCAUAGGGGAGCCGGAGGGAAACCGAGUCUUAAUUGGGCG
rnacentral:rRNA from 1 species